rnacentral:rRNA from 1 species
GACGAACGCUGGCGGCGUGCUUAACACAUGCAAGUCGAACGGUAAGGCCCUUCGGGGGUACACGAGUGGCGAACGGGUGAGUAACACGUGGGUGAUCUGCCCUGCACUUCGGGAUAAGCCUGGGAAACUGGGUCUAAUACCGGAUAGGACCCUGGGAUGCAUGUCCUGGGGUGGAAAGCUUUUGCGGGGUGGGAUGGGCCCGCGGCCUAUCAGCUUGUUGGUGGGGUGAUGGCCUACCAAGGCGACGACGGGUAGCCGGCCUGAGAGGGUGACCGGCCACACUGGGACUGAGAUACGGCCCAGACUCCUACGGGAGGCAGCAGUGGGGAAUAUUGCACAAUGGGCGCAAGCCUGAUGCAGCGACGCCGCGUGAGGGAUGACGGCCUUCGGGUUGUAAACCUCUUUCAGCACCGACGAAGCGCAAGUGACGGUAGGUGCAGAAGAAGGACCGGCCAACUACGUGCCAGCCGCCGCUGUAA